rnacentral:rRNA from 1 species
CACUCUAGACGAACUGCCGUUGACAAACGGAGGAAGUGGGAUGACGGUCAAAUCAUCAUGCCCCUUAUGUUCCGGGCUACACACGUGCUACAAUGGCCGGUACAGACGGAGGCGAAGCCGCGAGGCGGAGCAAAUCCGAAAAAAGCCGGUCUCAGUUCGGAUUGCAGGCUGCAAUUCGCCUGCAUGAAGUCGGAAUCGCUAGUAAUCGCAGGUCAGCAUACUGCGGUGAAUACGUUCCCGGGCCUU